ACAAUGCAUGCCAAAGUUUAUUUAUUUCAUGAUUUUGUGUUGGUUCAGGAGUCUCGCAUCAUCUGUGAUGGAGCUUUUGAGAGAAUCAGGAUUUGCAGGUAUGUCAUCUGUCGUCUCGUGCUGUUGGUCUAUUAACUGCCAAAUUUGAACGUGGGUAGGACCAUGGUGUGCUAGCCCAAGAAUACUGUGAACGGAGAGAUGAACUUCUUGGAUCCCUGUAUGACCUUGCAAAGCAAAUUAUAGAAGCAAAAAUAUCAGGACCAUGGUGUGCUAGCCCAAGAAUACCUGUUGUAAAGCUGGCUUGACGAAGGCAGGUACUACAGGGCGACGUGUGAGAUUGAGAUGUUGAUUGAACCAAAGGCUUGGGAUUGUGUAAGAUAACAAUCACCUGGAGAUAGUAUUUGUAGAACCAACCGUGGCUGUCCCUAAGUAGGUUUUGGACUUCUGUAGGAAUCUAAAUAGGACUUGGAGUCGUUGUACAGUAUAAUCUGAUUCGUACACGGACACGCUUGAGUGGCAAAUUAUCUGUAGCACCAACUGUGCCUGCUACUAAGUAGGUUUUGGACCUAUGUAGGAAUCUAAAUAGGAUUUGAGUAGUUGUAUCCA